CCUACGGGAGGCAGCAGUGAGGAAUAUUGGUCAAUGGACGAGAGUCUGAACCAGCCAAGUCGCGUGAAGGAUGACUGCCCUAUGGGUUGUAAACUUCUUUUAUAAAGGAAUAAAACGAGGCACGUGUGCCUUUUUGCAUGUACUUUAUGAAUAAGGAUCGGCUAACUCCGUGCCAGCAGCCGCGGUAAUACGGAGGAUCCGAGCGUUAUCCGGAUUUAUUGGGUUUAAAGGGAGCGUAGAUGGGUUGUUAAGUCAGUUGUGAAAGUUUGCGGCUCAACCGUAAAAUUGCAAUUGAUACUGGCAGUCGUGAGUACAGUUGAGGUAGGCGGAAUUCGUGGUGUAGCGGUGAAAUGCUUAGAUAUCACGAAGAACCCCGAUUGCGAAGGCAGCUUACUAAACUGUGACUGACAUUGAUGCUCGAAAGUGUGGGUAUCAAACAGGAUUAGAUACCCUUGUAGUC
rnacentral:rRNA from 1 species